AAUGACUCUUGGGUUUUGAGGGUUCUGGUGAUGAUGGUGUGGUGGUGCUGAUGAGAAAAAAGAGUAAUCUGUUUUAAUUGAAAGAUCUGAGUUUGGCCUCGUACUUUAAGGAAAUUGAGGUGUGGAAACAAAAGACAAUCUUGAACAGAAGACCAACAGAACUGCAC